AAGUCAUCUCUCUACUCGUGGCUCAGCGUGUGCUCUGCUCCUCCAUCCUCCUCCGUCACCUCCAGGGCUUUGUUGUGCUCCCAUUUCCAUCCCUGCGCGUAGUUUGUACCUGACUUUGCGUUUGGGCUCGAGGACUGGUGCCGUACCGGGAGCAGCGCCUCGGCUUCUGCCUAACAAAGAGGAGGAAAGGAAAAAGCUCGGACCCGUUUGAUAAACGCCGCAAUUUCAAUUCUGCCCUGGCGGUUUCCAUGGGCUGCGAAGAAAAUAUAGCCCUCUUACUCGCAGGGAGCCCCUUCUUCCUCCGGCAGGGUUAUUUGCAUGUAUUAUAAACAGCAGUGUUGGCUUGCCAUCUUCAGGCAGCGCGAACGCACUGCACAGCAUCCCCGCGCGCCCCCGGUGCUGCCGGUGGCUCGGAGCUCCUUCCCAAAUAAAUCACCAGCGGGGGGGCUCCGGCAGCACCAAGACCCUCACCGAAGGCAGGGGAGCGGGGCAGCUCGUCCCCUGGGGCCCCGGCACGGCGAGGGCUUUCGCUGCCCGUGCAGGGGAGCGUGUCCGUGUCUCCGGCUCCGCAAAGAAGUUUUGGGCAGAUCAGGACCACGGAAACAUCCCCGUCCUCAUCUGGAGCAGGAUUUUCAGCACAAAAGGCUUUAUGAGACUCACAAAGCGUGGCAUCCAGUUCUGCACGUGAGCUCCGGGAGGCAGAGAUCAGAGUCCUGCUGGGCUGAACGCCGCACGUACCGUAACAAAAAGGCAGUCGCGGUGCCAAACUACUUCCAGCCUUCUCCUUAAUGUAAGGAACGCAGAAUUAAGAUUGCCAUAGCAACAUUUUGCUCAUAUUGCACGUAUAGAUAUGACUUGUCAGUCUUAUAUAUAUAUAUGUGUGUGUGUGUGUAUAUAUAUAUAUAUAUAUAUAUCUGCGUAAUGUGUGUAUACAAACCCUAAAUAUCUCUGGCACCUUUUUCUGCUGUUGGGUUGAUGCCUUGUGUGUUACAGCUCUCGGUGCUCUUCCCCCGCUGAUCCCCGCCACGUCCAGGCUUUCUGUCCUCCUGGCCUCUGCGUUUCCAUCCGCUGUUUUCAAGCAAGCCAGCCGCCAGGAACGGGAUCAGUGCCUGUGUGCUCCUAUCGAAGCUUUCACCCAGCAAUUUGCAGAGGGCUGCAGAGCUCCCUGCCUGUAACUGGCGGCCCAAAGCACCGCGCUUCGUAGGAGGAAACAUCUCGGAUGGCUGCUGGAGCCGAGCAGGCUAUUUCCCGUAAUGAGGACGAAGAAAACGAGCCUUCGCCAAUGGGGUGACUGAGCCCCUCGCUGCAGGCAGGGAGGUGCUGGUGGUGUGUCAUUAAGACAUUUCUUGCACCAUGGCUGGUGGUGAGGGUGUCAGUGCCCAGAGCUCUAAACCAGCCCUUUUGCUGGGGUUGAAGCACAGCCAGGGUAUAAUCUCAGCUCCUUUUUCUGAAUGCAGCUGGUGGGGAACUGGGGGAGACCCUGGUGUGUCCAAAAGCUGCCCUCCAGCCAUCCCCUAAAUGGGGCAGGACCGCGGGCUUGUGGCUGGGAGGAAGAAAGGGCAGAGUAAGGGAGAGAGGGGCUGAGAGCCACGGGGACCAGCAGGAGGCACCCCGCAGCAUCCCUGCCUGUGGGAGGACAGGGGCAGGAGGACAAACAGGGACAUUGUGCCCUCUCCCCUCCUCUCCUUGAUUUAUUGUCCUGCUGUGGGACACCGAACACCUUGAGUAACUCGUGUGCUGUUGGGCAAUGUAGGAGGGAAGCUUUUCUCAGAAAAUAAAACCCUCAAAAUUCUUGUUGGCCA
rnacentral:lncRNA from 1 species